UGACUGUUUAUUUACUUUUACUAGUUAUUCUUCCUCCAUGGAAAUUAUGCUUCUGAAUAUAGUGAAUAAAACCAGAUGUGAUCACACUGAUUUUGACUUAGUGCUAUUUUCAACAUAAUAAUAUUUCCUAUGGGAUAGAGAGCAAAGAAGGGAAGGUGAAGGGAAGAAAAUCACCUUUGCAUUUCCACUCUGUUAGCAGGUCAUGAAUUUGAUGUGUUACGUCAUAAUACAAAAAUUAGCUGGGCAUGGUGGCAGGGGCCUGUAAUCCCAGCUAUUCGUGAGGCUGAGGCAGAGAAUUGCUUGAACUCGGGAGGCGGAGGUUGCAGUGAGCCAAGAUCAUGCCACUGCACUGCAGCCUGGGCGACAGAGCGAGACUACCUCUCAAAAAAAAAAAAAAAAAAGGAAGAAAGAAAGGAAAAGAAAAGAAAAAGAAAUAGAAGUAUAAAGGGGAAUCAUAAGAAUUCUAAAUGGUAUAGAAAAAAAAUAUGUUUUCCAUAUAUAUAUAUUUCUAGACUCAUGGCAAAUACCUGAAAACAAAAUCUUCACUUCAGCACUGGGAAGUAUAUGAAACUGUUUUCAGACCACACAACUCUGUGAGCUCAUCGCCAAGAAUUGGUCUGCAAGGUCAUCAGAAGGGCAGGCUAUUUGUAAACUCCUUUUGACUUAGCUGGUAAGACAGAAAGUUCUUUCUUCAUGGCUAAAUGAUACUUGAGAAAAGAAAAAAUGUGGUGAAGCUGGAUGUAUCUAGUUGAAAUAAAAAUGACUACCUUAUUCCUACGUAAGCAAAAUAUACCACUUACAAGAAAAAAAGGAAUUUAUGAAUAGAAAUAGAAUCAGAUCACGGUGCAUUUCUCAAUUCUCCACUGGGUUUUAUUACUCCAGUGUUGUGUUUUUACCUUUUAUCGUAGCUGUCAUUCGUCCUUGUACUUUAGAUAGCAGCUUAUCAACCCUUGUUAUAUCAUUAGCUUCUUUAGGGUGAGGAUCUUAUCUUUAUUUUUGACCACACUUCCUGUG
rnacentral:lncRNA from 1 species